rnacentral:rRNA from 1 species
UACGUAGGCAGCGAGCGUUGUUCGGAGUUACUGGGCGUAAAGGGUGCGUAGGCGGUUGUUUAAGUUUGGUGUGAAAUCUCCCGGCUCAACUGGGAGGGUGCGCCGAAUACUGAAUGACUAGAGUGCGGGAGAGGAUAGUGGAAUUCCUGGUGUAGCGGUGAAAUGCGUAGAUAUCAGGAGGAACACCGGUGGUGUAGACGGCUAUCUGG